rnacentral:rRNA from 1 species
GUUUAUGGCCAUGCCACCCUGAACACGCCCAACCUCCUCUGAUCUUGGAAGCUAAGCAGGGUGGGCCUGGUUAGUACUUGGAUGGGAGACCACCUAGGAAGACCAGGUGCUCUAGGCG